UGGAGUAGGUAGGCGGAUUAUGGAGUGUAGCGGUGAAAUGCUUAGAUAUUACACAGAACACCGAUUGCGAAGGCAGCUUACUAAUCCAUGAUUGACGCUGAGGCACGAAAGCGUGGGGAUCAAACAGGAUUAGAUACCCUGGUAGUCCACGCUGUAAACGAUGAUCACUCGCUGUUUGCGAUACACAGUAAGCGGCUAAGCGAAAGCGUUAAGUGAUCCACCUGGGGAGUACGAUCGCAAGGUUGAAACUC
rnacentral:rRNA from 1 species